CUCCAGACUCCUACGGGAGGCAGCAGUGGGGAAUAUUGCACAAUGGGGGAAACCCUGAUGCAGCGAUGCCGCGUGGAGGAAGAAGGUUUUCGGAUUGUAAACUCCUUUUAUCAGGGACGAUAAUGACGGUACCUGAAGAAAAAGCUCCGGCUAACUACGUGCCAGCAGCCGCGGUAAUACGGAGGAUGCGAGCGUUAUCCGGAUUUAUUGGGUUUAAAGGGUGCGUAGGCGGUUUUUUAAGUUAGUGGUUAAACGUCGGGGCUUCACCUUGAUUUGCCAUUAAUACUGUAAGACUCGAGUUCAGACGAGGUAGGCGGAAUAAGUUAAGUAGCGGUGAAAUGCUUAGAUAUAACUUAGAACUCCGAUAGCGAAGGCAGCUUACCAGACUGCGACUGACGCUGAAGCACGAGAGCGUGGGUAGCGAACAGGAUUAGAUACCCCAGUAC
rnacentral:rRNA from 1 species